CAUCUUAUUCCUCAGCUAGUUUUGUCUCCCUGUGUGUGAUCAUAAGCAGGGAGGCAAAACUAGCUAAGGAAUAAGAUG
ensembl:miRNA